UACGUAGGUGGCGAGCGUUAUCCGGAAUUAUUGGGCGUAAAGCGCGCGCAGGUGGUUUCUUAAGUCUGAUGUGAAAGCCUACGGCUUAACCGUAGAAUUGCAUUGGAAACUGGGGGACUUGAGUGCAGAAGAGGAAAGUGGAAUUCCACGUGUAGCGGUGAAAUGCGUAGAGAUGUGGAGGAACACCGGUGGCGAAGGCGACUUUCUGGUCUGCAACUGACACUGAGGCGCGAAAGCGUGGGGAGCAAACAGG
rnacentral:rRNA from 1 species